rnacentral:rRNA from 2 species
ACUUUAUAUAUUAAUUAAAUUUAAUUAAAUUUUAAAGAUUUAAUUUAAUGUUAUAUUUUAUUGGGGCGAUAAAGGUAUAAAUAAUAUUAACUACUUAGAGAAAAAACAAUAAUAUUUGGGUAUAGUAAAUGAUCCUUGAUAAAGAGUAAAAGACUAAGUU